AUACGAAGGGGGCUAGCGUUGUUCGGAAUUACUGGGCGUAAAGCGCGCGGAGGCGGACUGAUCAGUUGGGGGUGAAAUCCCAGGGCUUAACCCUGGAACUGCCUCCAAUACUGUCAGUCUUGAGUUCGGGAGAGGUGAGUGGAAUUCCUAGUGUAGAGGUGAAAUUCGUAGAUAUUAGGAAGAACACCAGUGGCGAAGGCGGCUCACUGGCCCGAUACUGACGCUGAGGCGCGAAAGCGUGGGGAGCAAACAGGAUUAGAAACCCUAGUAGUCC
rnacentral:rRNA from 1 species